rnacentral:rRNA from 1 species
UACGUAGGGGGCAAGCGUUGUCCGGAAUCAUUGGGCGUAAAGCGCGUGUAGGCGGCUCGAUAAGUCUGCUGUGAAAGUCCAGGGCUCAACCCUGGGAUGCCGGUGGAUACUGUCGAGCUCGAGUCCGGAGAGGAGUGUGGAAUUCCUGGUGUAGCGGUGAAAUGCGCAGAUAUCAGGAGGAACACCUGAGGCGAAGGCGGGCUACUGGGCCGAUACUGACGCU